GCCAUUUCUAUCUGCUCUUCCGUAGUUUCUAUAUCGAUUCUGGGUAGCUUUAGUAUUCAUGCUUGUGUAUCUAGUUGUGUCGAGAAUUACUAUUUCUUCAGACUGACUAGUUAACACACUUCGGAGUCUUGAUUUUCAAAGUGCUUCUGAUGCUUACAUUUUCUUGUAUUGCAGCAUCGUGAUAGGUAGCGCUUUUGUUAGAUGCGCGCUGUGGCGUUUGGUUGCUUCUCAACUGCUGCCGUGGUGGCAAGGUGUAGCCGCGUAGGGUGUACUUGUAUCACGGAGAGGCUUUGUUUCAUCUGGUCACUCCAUACUUCUUUUGAGCCUUCAACAAGUAUGUCGUCCAUAUAGUUUGUAAUGCGUCAGGCUCAGGCUGUGAGGCGGCGCUGCAUUGUGCUGCACACUGGUGUUGUUAUGGCCGUACUAGAUGGUUCUGUUGUGGCCGCGUAACAUUGUAUACGUACAUGUUUACUAUACAUGGAGCGCGUAUCGGUUUAGUACUUCUCGUUCCUCUCUCUCUCUCUGUGCUGCGAACGUGUUUGCUUUGUUAGUUUUCUAGUGACAGUAGCAUAAGUGAUUUGGCUGGGUGUAUUAGACCAACAACAACAACAACGACAUACCCAGUGUAUUCCCACAAAGUGGGGUCUGGAGAGGGUAAAGUGUACGUAAUCCAUACCACUACCUCAGAUGAAGUAACGAGGCUGCUUCCGAUAGACACCCGGCUCAGGACAGAUAACAAAAUAUGACCAAUCCAUCAUAUUUCUUUUCUAACAUUUCUCUUUUCAUAUUGAUGUCAUAACAUACAAGGUAGGGGGUAAGGGCCUACGUACGCUCUACUCUUCCCGGAUGCGGCCACCUCAUGAGAUUAUACUAGGUAUGUUGUUGUUGACGCCAUGCACGACAGUUCGCAUUGUUGCAACGUAUGUCCUUUAACCUGUUUUCGUUUUCCAUAUACGAUAUUCGGAUCGAGUAUAUGUCAUAUGCGCUCAAACAUGACCGGCAAAUGAAUUCGAUUAAAUUCAAAUUCACACAUUGCGUAACUCAUUUCUAGAGGUGGUGCUCCCGAUAGAACUUUUCCAUUCCUAGAGGCUCGAAACUUGUAACAUUGCUAAAAUUUUGAAUCAAAUCGAAAAGCCAAACCAAAUCGAAUAAUUUUUAUACCCUUUAAUAUCU
rnacentral:lncRNA from 1 species